rnacentral:rRNA from 1 species
AACCAGCACCUCAAGUGGUCAGGAUGAUUAUUGGGCCUAAAGCAUCCGUAGCCGGCUCUGUAAGUUUUCGGUUAAAUCUGUACGCUCAACGUACAGGCUGCCGGGAAUACUGCAGAGCUAGGUAGUGGGAGAGGUAGACGGUACUCGGUAGGAAGGGGUAAAAUCCUUUGAUCUAUUGAUGACCACCUGUGGCGAAGGCGGUCUACCAGAACACGUACGACGGUGAGGGAUGAAAGCUGGGGGAGCAAACCGGAUUAGAUACCCGGGUAGUCCCAGCUGUAAACUAUGCAAACUCAGUGAUGCAUUGGCUUGUGGCCAAUGCAGUGCUGCAGGGAAGCCGUUAAGUUUGCCGCCUGGGAAGUACGUACGCAAGUAUGAAACUUAAAGGAAUUGGCGGGGGAGCACCACAAGGGGUGAAGCCUGCGGUUCAAUUGGAGUCAACGCCAGAAAUCUUACCCGGAGAGACAGCAGAAUGAAGGUCAAGCUGAAGACUUUACCAGACAAGCUGAGAGGUGGUGCAUGGCCGUCGCCAGCUCGUGCCGUGAGAUGUCCUGUUAAGUCAGGUAACGAGCGAGAUCCCUGCCUCUAGUUGCCACCAUUACUCUCAGGAGUAGUGGGGCGAAUUAGCGGGACCGCUGCAGUUAAUGCGGAGGAAGGAAGGGGCCACGGCAGGUCAGUAUGCCCCGAAACUCUGGGGCCACACGCGGGCUGCAAUGGUAACGACAAUGGGUUUCGAAUUCGAAAGGAUGAGGUAAUCCUCAAACGUUACCACAGUUAUGACUGAGGGCUGCAACUCGCCCUCACGAAUAUGGAAUCCCUAGUAACUGCGUGUCACUAUCGCGCGGUGAAUACGUCCCUGCUCAU